UACGUAGGGCGCAAGCGUUAUCCGGAAUUAUUGGGCGUAAAGAGCUCGUAGGCGGUCUGUCGCGUCUGCUGUGAAAACCUGGGGCUUAACCCCGGGCCUGCAGUGGGUACGGGCAGACUAGAGUGCGGUAGGGGAGACUGGAAUUCCUGGUGUAGCGGUGAAAUGCGCAGAUAUCAGGAGGAACACCGGUGGCGAAGGCGGGUCUCUGGGCCGUAACUGACGCUGAGGGAAGCGGAA
rnacentral:rRNA from 1 species